AUGGAAAAAUAUGAAGAAUUUAUGCUUAGACGAUGGCUUGCUGCACAACCUGAUUGUAGAUGGUGUCCAGCUCCAGAUUGUGGAUAUGCUGUGAUAGCAUUUGGAUGCGCCAGUUGUCCAAAGUUAACUUGAGGGUGAGAGGGCCGUGGAACGGAGUUUUGCUACCACUGUAAACAGAUUUGGCACCCCAACCAGACCUGUGAUGCCACUCGGCAAGAAAGAGCCCAGAGUUUAUGUUUGAGAACUAUACGUUCUUCAUCCAUUAGCUAUAGUCAAAAAUCUGGAGCAGCAGCUGAUGAUAUAAAUCCAUGUCCACGAUGCGCUGCUUAUAUAAUAAAGAUGAAUGAUGGGAGCUGCAAUCACAUGACAUGUGCUGUUUGUGGUUGUGAGUUUUGUUGGUUGUGUAUGAAAGAAAUCUCAGAUUUACAUUACCUAAGUCCAUCAGGGUGUACUUUUUGGGGAAAGAAACUUUGGAGCCGAAAGAAGAAAAUAUUAUGACAGCUGGGAACACUGGUUGGUGCUCCUGUAGGAAUUGCUUUAAUAGCGGGCAUUCCUAUUCCUGCGAUGAUUAUUGGCAUUCCUGUGUAUGUGGGCCACAAGAUUCACAAUCGAUAUGAAGGCAAGGAUGUUUCAAAGCACAAAUGGAAUUUGGCCAUAGCAGGUGGUGUAACGUUGUCUGUAAUUGUAUCUCCAGUAGUAGCUGCAGUGACUGUAGGUAUUGGUGUUCCUAUUAUGUUAGCUUAUGUCUAUGGCAUUUCCAAUUUCUCUCUGUCGAAGUGGAGGUUGUGGAGUCUCAGCAGGCAAUGGAAAAGGAGUCAGGAUUGAAUUUGAUGACGAAAAUGAUAGAAAUGUUGGUGGAACUAACACAGCUGUAGACACAACAUCAAUAGCAGAAGCAAGAAACAAUCCUAGCAUAGGGGAAGGAAGUGUUGGUGGCCUGACUGGCAGUUUGAGUGCAAGUGGAAGCCACAUGGAUCGAAUAGGAACCAUUCGAGACAACCUGAGUGAAACGGCUAGCACCAUGGCACUGGCUGGGGCCAGUAUAAUGGGGAGUCUGUCAGGAAGUGCCAUGGUUAAUUGUUUUAACAGGUUGGAAGUACAAGCAGAUGUACAGAAAGAACGGUACAGUCUAAGUGGAGAAUCUGGCACCAUCAACUUGGGAACAGUUAGUGAUAAUGCCAGCACCAAAGCAAUGGCAGGAUCCCUUCUCAACUCCUACAUCCCCUUGGACAAAGAAGGCAACAGUAUGGAGGUACAAGUGGAUAUUGAAUCAAAACCAUCCAAAUUUAGGCACAACAGUGGAAGCAGUAGUGUGGAUGAUGGCAGUGCCACCCGAAGUCACACUGGUGGUUCAUCCUGUGGCUUGCCUGAAGGUAAAUCUAGUGCCACCAUGUGGUCCAAAGAAGCAACAGCAGGAAAAAAAUCAAAAAGUAAAUUGUGGAAAAAAGGUAACAUGAAGAUAAAUGAGAUCAGAAAGGACACAGAUACACAGUUGUUGGAACAACUAAGCACGAACUCAAGUGAAUUUUAGGCUCCAUCCCUCAGUGACAGUAUGCCAUCUGU